GUCCACGCCGUAAACGAUGGAUACUAGCUGUUGGGAGCAAUCUCAGUGGCUAAGCGAAAGUGAUAAGUAUCCCACCUGGGGAGUACGGGCGCAAGCCUGAAACUCAAAAGGAAUUGACGGGGGCCCGCACAAGCGGUGGAGCAUGUGGUUUAAUUCGAUGAUACGCGAGGAACCUUACCAAGGCUUAAAUGUAGAUUGACAGGACUGGAAACAGUUUUUUCUCGGACAAUUUACAAGGUGCUGCAUGGUUGUCGU
rnacentral:rRNA from 1 species